GUGCCAGCAGCCGCGGUAAUACCGGCAGCCCAAGUGAUGGCCGAUCUUAUUGGGCCUAAAGCGUCCGUAGCUGGCUGAACAAGUCCGUUGGGAAAUCUGCUCGCUCAACGAGCAGGCGUCCAGCGGUAACUGUUCGGCUUGGGACCGGAAGACCUGAGGGGUACGUCCGGGGUAGGAGUGAAAUCCUGUAAUCCUGGACGGACCACCGGUGGCGAAAGCGCCUCAGGAAGACGGAUCCGACAGUGAGGGACGAAAGCUAGGGUCUCGAACCGGAUUAGAUACCCCCGUAGUCC
rnacentral:rRNA from 1 species